rnacentral:lncRNA from 1 species
GGGCAAGAUCCAGCAGCCUCAUUUGAAGGAAGCUCUCACCACCCUGUUAUUGAUAGGCUGUGGAGGUCGCCAGUUGCUCACAAGAGGCACUGGGGGCUCGUUCUCAGCACUGGAGAGGAGGCUCCGCAGCUUGGCCAUCUGCAAAGGGCAGGGGCAGACUGUUAACAAGACAUUCGGAUCAACUGGACACACUACGUGACAAAGAGAAAAAUGCCAAUCACAGCGAUCCCAUCGCGCUGCUUCAGGGCUUCUUUAAAAGUGUUAUACUUCGGGUUCCAGUGAACCAAAUGAAGCUGAAACCAUAGACGACAGAUUAGAAGUUUUCACUGUAUGAGACUGAGAAUGGAUUACGGCAGUUCCUCUUACCUCCGCUGCAUACUUGACUCCAUCCACGGUGUGCUCAGAGCCAUGAUCAUCCGAAGAGCCCCAGUGAAGAUGAAACUGGCGAAGUCGGUAGGGUCCAGGGAGAGGACCCCCUCUCAGCACUGUGAUUCAGAUAAGCUUGGUCAACAGUGAAUUCAUGCUUCUUUUACAGAGCUCUACUUUAACCAAGUGCUCUUAGAGCCAAGGCUUAAUGGACAAAAUGUGGUCAGUUUGCUGGGUGGAUGGUGCCACUCCCAGGACACUGGACUCCUCACAAAAUGAAGUCUGGGGAUAUGUCAAGAUAAAUGAUUGUUCUUUUCUGUCUUUCUUAUUUUGUUUGCUUGUUUCAUUAUUAUUGAAACAUCAUUUUAACAUUUAGGAAAGCAAAAUGAAAACAACAGAUAGACAAUGAGGAUGCAUACACCAAAAGAACAGGUCAGUAGUGUGGUGCAGUGGGAAGAACUGGACAGUUGAGAACCAGGUGGAUGUAGG